GGCAAGAACAGCAAGGUGGGGAGAGAGAAGCUUGCAAUAUUUCACAAAGGAAAUUAAAAUGUGAUUCCUGUUGAGUCACCCCCUCUCCCCUAAAUAUUUUGGAGGGUGGACUUACUUAGGGAGAAUGAGACUCUUAACAGAAUUUGUGUAAAUCAUUAUUUAAUGAUCACGAUCCAUAGGCUAUUCUUCUCAUCGAGGGGUAAGCCACUGUCAAGCCAGACUAAUAGGAGUUUAUAGACCAGCAGUGAGUGUAAGCGGUCUUGGUGACACAAAUACAAACCCAGCAGCUCAGCUUACUGCAGCUUAGAAUGGAUUAAUGUCCUGUGGCAGAUGCCAGCCUCGUGCCAAAAAGACUAACCCAGUCUUUAUGAAUUUCCUGUUCCUCACAAUGGUUGAACUACGUCAAUACUGAGAUAACUAGAAAUAGCCCCAAUUCACAAGCUGUGGAUCUCUGCGGCACUCCUUCAAAGUCAGACUGUGCCUGAAUUUUCCUUGAGGCUCCUUUACAGCCCUUGCCUAUUCAGAGCAAGCUCACUAUGUUCUCUUACUAAUUUCAUCAACAGAGCCGUUUAAGCAGUGAUAACCCUCAGGAAGUUAAUUUGUUUUCUCCCCAUCUUUUCCCAAGAAAGAAUUAAGAGUGGAGUUCUGUGGUUUGAUAGAGUGGUUUGUUUGCUACUAUUAUUAGUUUUGUUUGUACCAGAGAGCAUUGGCCUUCUGCACUGAGAUGAUGAUGGGGAUCAUGAAAAUCCUGUUUUUUUGUUUUGUUGUUGUUUUUUGCAGGCUGUGCAAGGAAACACUCAUCGUUCUUGAAGCAGAAUCUAGGGAAGCUCUGUCUCAGCAUACACGACCUCUACUGCACAAAGAGAAAGGUUGCGUUGUGCCUGGGGAACAAAGCUCUGGAAUGAAGUCUAUAACAGCUAAGAUAUGCUGGGCCACGGAGCAUCUUUGCAAGUCUCUAAACAGCCCACAGGAAAAUCACAGAAGGACCCUAUAUUUGCUUGAGAGAAGAAAGUGGAUAUUGGUAGGAUCUUCUCAUGCAGCAUGGAGAAAUGGUAGCAGUGUCACCUCCCCACAGAAGAAGCUCAACAAAUCCAUGUUAACCUCACUGCCUGUAUGACAUUUUGACGAGUGCAUAGAACAAGUAAGGAAGUACAUAGGGGGUUUUCUCCCAUGUAAACUCUGGGUUCCCAUGCAAACUCAAUGUGCUGGAGCCUGGCUUUGUGUGGAGCAGUGCUGGGAAGUUAGCAGCAGAACAGCAGCCCAGCACAGUGAGUGGUAUCCCCACAGGGACAAUCACUGCGGAGAGCUCCCCUAAGGUCGCAUCAGCCUCUUGAGGGGAAAGUUUGACUGACAGUCCCACUCCCACUGGGGUUUCCUUCUGUCCCUGCUGUCCCGGUUGGAUCCAAGUGCUAUUUAUAUGCUCCCUUCAAGUACUGGAAGGCCACAAUGAGGUCUCCCCAGAGCCUUCUCUUCAAUCUAAACAAGCCCAGUCCCCUCAACCUUUCUUAAUGUCCAUUCGCUGCACUUAAUCCAAGCUUUGUGCCCAGCAGCACUAGUUCUUUUUGUUAGUGAAGUUACCGAUAGGACACGAGAGGGUAGGGCCACCACAGCGACGCUUUGAUGGCAAUUUUGGAAGAGGGGCAGCCGAUCAGAGCAGGGAACACAACCUCCGUGGCCCCUCAGGGGCCGCUCGGCACAGGGCUGGUUGCGGUGCCCGGCUGUGCUCUCCGGUUGAACGCGGCGCAGGGAGCGAUGCCAUCGCCGCACCGCUCCGCCCGGAGCUCCGCGCCCCGCAGCGGGUGGAGGUGACAGCGCGGCAAGGAGCAUGCGUGAGGGGGGGUACGGAGGGGGAGGAGGAGGAGGAGAAGGAGGAGAGGAGGAGGAGGAGGGAUGGCGCGGGGAGGCGGCCGCUGUUUAUUUGCAGCCGGGCAGGCUGCGCCCCGGCAGAGCGCGAGUGGCCGCCGCCGGCGCCGCCGGUGCCGCUGCCCGCCCCGCAGCAUGCGGGCGGCGGAGCCGGGGCUCGCAGCGCAGCUCCCCGCG
ensembl:lncRNA